rnacentral:rRNA from 1 species
UACGAAGGGGGCUAGCGUUGUUCGGAAUUACUGGGCGUAAAGGGCGCGCAGGCGGUCCUUCAAGUCAGGCGUGAAAGCCCCGGGCUCAACCUGGGAAUAGCGCUUGAGACUGAGGGACUUGAGUUCGGGAGAGGAGAGCGGAAUUCCCAGUGUAGAGGUGAAAUUCGUAGAUAUUGGGAAGAACACCGGUGGCGAAGGCGGCUCUCUGGACCGACACUGACGCUGAGGCGCGGAAAGCGUGGGGAGCAAACAGG